GUCGAGCGGAUGAAGAGAGCUUGCUCUCUGAUUCAGCGGCGGACGGGUGAGUAAUGCCUAGGAAUCUGCCUGGUAGUGGGGGACAACGUUUCGAAAGGAACGCUAAUACCGCAUACGUCCUACGGGAGAAAGCAGGGGACCUUCGGGCCUUGCGCUAUCAGAUGAGCCUAGGUCGGAUUAGCUAGUUGGUGAGGUAAUGGCUCACCAAGGCGACGAUCCGUAACUGGUCUGAGAGGAUGAUCAGUCACACUGGAACUGAGACACGGUCCAGACUCCUACGGGAGGCAGCAGUGGGGAAUAUUGGACAAUGGGCGAAAGCCUGAUCCAGCCAUGCCGCGUGUGUGAAGAAGGUCUUCGGAUUGUAAAGCACUUUAAGUUGGGAGGAAGGGUUGUAGAUUAAUACUCUGCAAUUUUGACGUUACCGACAGAAUAAGCACCGGCUAACUCUGUGCCAGCAGCCGCGGUAAUACAGAGGGUGCAAGCGUUAAUCGGAAUUACUGGGCGUAAAGCGCGCGUAGGUGGUUUGUUAAGUUGGAUGUGAAAGCCCCGGGCUCAACCUGGGAACUGCAUUCAAAACUGACAAGCUAGAGUAUGGUAGAGGGUGGUGGAAUUUCCUGUGUAGCGGUGAAAUGCGUAGAUAUAGGAAGGAACACCAGUGGCGAAGGCGACCACCUGGACUGAUACUGACACUGAGGUGCGAAAGCGUGGGGAGCAAACAGGAUUAGAUA
rnacentral:rRNA from 1 species